GCACAGAAAGAAGGAAUGAGAAAAGCGAAAGAGUCACAAGAAGAAGAAGACAGAAGUGUGCACCCACUUCAUGCCGUUCGUUCCCUUCACUUCCCUUCCCUUUGAACUCUUUCUUUCCCCUCUUUUUUUUCUGAUGCCAUCUUCUUUCUGCCUGUUUGUUUCGUCUGCAUAAAAAUA
rnacentral:ribozyme from 11 species